UGGGGAAUAUUGGACAAUGGGGGGAACCCUGAUCCAGCCAUGCCGCGUGUGUGAAGAAGGCCUUAUGGUUGUAAAGCACUUUAAGCGAGGAGGAGGGUACUGGUAUUAAUACUACCAGGUACUGGACGUUACUCGCAGAAUAAGCACCGGCUAACUCUGUGCCAGCAGCCGCGGUAAUACAGAGAGUGCGAGCGUUAAUCGGAUUUACUGGGCGUAAAGCGCGCGUAGGUGGUUCGUUAAGUUGAAUGUGAAAGCCCCGGGCUCAACCUGGGAACUGCAUCCAAAACUGGCGAGCUAGAGUAGGGCAGAGGGUGGUGGAAUUUCCUGUGUAGCGGUGAAAUGCGUAGAUAUAGGAAGGAACACCAGUGGCGAAGGCGACCACCUGGGCUCAUACUGACACUGAGGUGCGAAAGCGUGGGGAGCAAACAGG
rnacentral:rRNA from 1 species